UCCGGUUUGUCACCGGCAGUCUCCUUAGAGUUCCCACCAUAACGUGCUGGUAACUAAGGACAAGGGUUGCGCUCGUUGCGGGACUUAACCCAACACCUCACGACACGAGCUGACGACAGCCAUGCAGCACCUGUGGAGCACCCUCGAAGGUCACACGUUUCCGUGCGCUUGCAGCUCCAUGUCAAGUCCAGGUAAGGUUCUUCGCGUCGCGUCGAAUUAAACCACAUGCUCCGCUGCUUGUGCGGGCCCCCGUCAAUUCCUUUGAGUUUUAGCCUUGCGGCCGUACUCCCCAGGCGGGGCGCUUAAUGCGUUAGCUGCGGCACGGAGACCGUGGAAUGGCCCCCACACCUAGCGCCCAACGUUUACGGCGUGGACUAC
rnacentral:misc_RNA from 1 species